UGUUUCUAAUUUUUCUAAAAUGUGUUUAUAAACACUUGUGUUUAAGGGGUUUUAGAUUGGAAAUUAUGAAGUCACUACUGUCUGUGACCUUUGUUCCUUGUUUCUUUUGGUCCCAUUCUCUUUAAUAGAAAGGGGGGCAUAAAGAAUAUGGAGUAAGCUACACGUCUAGCACAGCAUUCCACAGCUCUGGAUGAGAAGUCACUAUCACCCAUGUCAGUCCCAAAGGCAACACUUAGUUUUGUUUUAUUCUUAGUGCAAAUGUUAUGUUUUGAAAAAAUUCAGUAAAUUCUGUUUGGUUUGAGCAAUUGAAGCACAAGAGAACUUCUUCUCUCCCCACACCAGCUUUGUAGAUCUCAAAACUCCCUUAUUAAUAUUCCCCAUUUGUCAUGAACAUAGUCUUCAUUCAUGGAUGAAUGCUGCUCUGGUAAAUAUGAGCAAAAAGUAGGGUUAAACAUAAUUACACUAUAAUUGUUAGCAAUUUACAUUCUUUAUUUGUGUAAUAUGGGAGUUCUCCUAAUCUUAAUGGGAUCUCGCAGGGGGGGAGUUCCAGAUAUACACCUGCCCGAGCCCACUGAAAUUACUGCAGUCUUGCUUAUUUCAAUAAUUAGGCACAGCAUACACAAUGCCUCUGAUGUGAUUAUACUUGCUUCCAGAUUACACCCUCCACCAUCGUAUAUGUAAUAAUCUGCUUCCAAGAAUGAAGUUUAGUCCUUUAAUGAUGAAGAUGGUAACUUCCCCCUUCUCCCCAACACACACAGACAUGAGGUUCAUGGCAGCGACAUAGGAAAUAAAUACACAAGUAAAGAGAGCAUACUGGUAUAGAAAGAUUAGCUCAUUAACUUUUGUGAUGCAAUACUAUUCAAAAACAUAACAAAUACAAAGAAUAAAGAGCUGGUUAGAAAAUGUUUUUCUGUAGGAAAAAAUGUUUUCAGAGAAAAAUUAAAAACUGAAAUAUUUCAGUUCUGAAGUUUUGCCACCGGGUCCCAUGUAAGUUGUAAUUCAGGUGCAUCUCCUGUUCUCCUCUAUAAGCCAGGCUCCCUGGUCAGACUACACCUCCCAUAAUGUAUCCCAGUCUCCCCUCAGUAGCAUUUUAGGGGUAGGAGGGUGAGGCAUCAUGUGGCCAUAGUGCAUCAUGAAAGAUGAAGUCAAGCAGGGGCCUGGCCCACAGAUGAGAAUAGCAGCAUGGGGCACCACAGCAGCACUUCACAAGUGAAAUGUCUUGAUAUUCAGUUUUCGGGGGGGGGGGGGGGGGGCAGAUAAUUUGAACAAAUUGUUUAGUCUAAAAUGCAAUUUUCCAUUGAAAAUCAGGUUUGAUGGAAAUUUUCAAUCAGCCAUAGUAUGUUUAGAAAUUCCUACCUUGAUCAGCUUUAAGCAUUCCAGUGGCAAAGCUGACCACUGGCUAUAUAAACAGUAUGGCUAGUUUUCUAUAUAACACUGUUUAGUCAUAUUAAUUUAAGUCACCUUAUUUUCAGGGGUGCUGAGCACCUGCCCUUCCAGUUAAAAAAAAUCAAUUGCAGAUGUAGGUGUUCAGCACUUUUAAAUACUAGGUCCUCUUUUGUAAGGCUCUCUUUCAGAUAAACUUUCUACAUCAUCCCCAAGCUGAGCUUUUCCUUAAGAAAAACCCGCCUUCUUCAGCCUGCUGUAAGGACAUGGUCUUCAGUCCCUUUUUAUUCAGCUAGCAGCGUUAUCCUUUGCUGUAGCCCAGUUCAGCUUUGUCUCAGAAACAAAAUCACACACACUGGAAAAGAAACAGAUUCUCUUUUCAACCUGGCAUGUGCUUGCUCCUGGUACCAGCAUACUCUCUUUAUACACUCUCCAUUUCCAAACUGUAAAGUGCACCUGAGGGUGAGGGCAUGACUUGUAGUUAGCUGUGGAGACCAUCAUUCCCCUCCUACAUGCACUAAUAAUUAAAGUAACAUACCCAUUUAUUCUUUUUGAGAGUUAUUCCAUUUCUACAAUCCAUUCCUUAGAAAAUCUUACCCCAAGUAUCACAAAAAAUUAUAACGUCUAGACUGAUACAAACGUAAUAUAUAACAUUCUGCUUUGGCUGGGCUGCUUGUACUCAGAGGUGUUAGCUGGACUUGUUUUUCUUUCUCCCUUUCUAUUAAUUAGCCUACCAUAUGUGAUGUGUAAAGAGUUGCAGCCUCUAGGGUCCCAAGUCCCAGAAUGAAUGUGUAUAAUGCAAGGCCAGAUUUUCAAAAGAGCUCAGCCUCCAAUGUUCCAAGUGCUUUUGAAAAUCUGGCUCCAAACAGUGGGAGCUGAUCACUUUCAGACAUGAUCAUAUCUCAAAAACACACCAACCCCCCCCCCCACCACCACC